ACAUAUACAUAUACAUAUUGCUAGUUGUAUGGUUGUAUUAUAGUUAUUUUUUUAAUUUUCAAUAAUUUGAAUUCGAAAUAUGCGUAUUCCUCGAAUAGGUAUAAUAUUAUUUAUCGGCUUUAAACGUAAUAUUUUAUUACUUGUCACCUCCUGUCAAGAUAAUAUCUAACAAUUUAAUAUAUAUGUAUUAUUGUAUCAUAAAUAAUAUUUAUUUCAUCGUCAUAAAUAACUGAGUUUAAAAGAAGUCAGUUAUUUUUACAGUAUAUUGACUUCAAAUUAUUUGUACAAGAACUAUAUAUUAUAUCAUAGAAUUUAUAAUGCGAUUCUAGUGAAAAAAUAAUGAUUAGGACUUGGAAGUUAUAGGAGGUUUAUAUGGCAAAAUAUGCACACAAAAAA